GACUGGAAAUCACAGCCCUUGAGUGUGUCUCAGUCAGUGCAGCAGAAUUCAGGGGGGAAAGCCGAAUGCAACCCCUGGUGCAGGAAGGGAGGCUUUUCCCAAAGACCAGGAGAGGAUUUUAAGUACAUAGAUGGAAGCUUCUGGAGAUCCUGCUCCGUCGCCCCAGUGUUCAGACUACCUGUUCAGGACAAUGCCGUUGUACAGUAGUCUGCACAUUGGUUAGACUGGGCAAGGGAGAGCAACGCCAUGGACGGCUGGGGACAAACGUGGCUGUUUCCAAGGAGAAGACUUUUGUUUGCUUUUUCAAAUCUCAUACCCAAUGUUUUUCUUCACAGGUUUUGCACACUAGGGACCCAGAAGCCCUCGGAGACACUGCUGAGAAAGGACUACUCGAAAUAAGACCUGUGGGAGAUAUACAAAUAUUUUAGAGGUCAUGGGAUCUAUUCCAGAGGAAACUAACCAACAGUGACAUCUUCAACUAAACCUACCGCUGCACAUGAUGCCCAGAUAAUGGUGUUUAUGUUUUUAAAAGACCAAAAUAUACUGUCUACCCCCACCUCUCGCCUUACAGACCACCCAAGUUUUUCAUGCCAUGGGAAAAUGGUUAGGCAUAAAACUUCUAAUGAAAGAAUUUCCCCCCCCCUUUUUUUUUUAAGGAAAUAAAAGGAAAAUACAACUUGAUAAUGUGAAAAAGUUCACUCAUCCACCAGCGUCCAUCCUUGCUAAAGAGAAGCCAAAGCUUUCAAUUACUCUACAAGAGAUCUGCUCUUUAAAAACAACCCAUUUUCCUCUUUUCUAAGGAGAAUAUCCCACCCAUCACAAUAAUGUCCAAAUAAUAACUAAGCGACCUUCAUUCAGAAAUCCCAGCUUAAAAUAACUAGAAGGUCAGGCUCUCACCUGAAAGGAGACAGGAAAUUGUCUUUAGUGAAGACAGAAACUUUCUUACUUGGUUUCUUUUAUCUUUUCACCUUAGUGUGCUGCAAACUAUGUAAAUAGAAAUAUUUACCCAGGUUUUGAAAGUCUAUUAAAAGCUUUAUCAGUUUUAAUAAAUAGAGAUAAUGAAGUAAAUUAAGGAAAAUAAUUAAAUCUUCAUUUUGAAUUUCCUGACCUAUCGUGACAGCCAGUUUCCUGAAGUUGCUUUGGCUUAAUUUUGCUCUAAAGGAUUUAGAAGAUAAUUCUUUCAUUACAUUUUUUUCCUUAAGAUAAUAAAUAAAAGACAAAGGAAAAUAAGGUGUAAUAACCAUAUUAAAAAUUACAUGGUAUGAUAAUAAUGUAAAUAGCUCUUUUAUAUUUUAGCUAGUAUUUUAAGUGGUAAUGAAUGGAUACUCAUUGGGAAUAUCCAUUCAUUGGGAGAUGGAAAAAAAGUCUUAAAUGUAUUUUUCAGCCUUCUGUCUUUUUAACAAGAUUAAGGGCAGGUUCAACAUAACUAUGAAGUAUGCAUAUGCCACAUACUUACUAUAAUUGUAGUUUAAAAGCUAUUAGAAACAUAAAUUUUCCAAAAGUCUUAUGAAUAGAGUAGUCAUUUUUCAGCAAGAUUUUUUUCCCCCUGAAAAAAAAGUUAUGGUUUUUCAGGCUCAAAUAUUUUUCGAUUAUCUUGGUUUAGUAAAACUGUUUCGUAUUAAAAUAUAACAGAUAAACUCACAAAUAUUUCUUUCUAUUUUUUCAGGUUGCAUGCAUCAUUCCUUUAAUUGAGCAGAGUUAACUGGAUCAAAUUAUUUAUGGGAGAGAGAGGGAAAGCUAUACAGAAUUACAGUAAUUUUUAAUUUCCACCAAUAUAUUCUUUGUAAGUGAAUCACUCUAAAUAUUUUCUGUUACACUGAAUGCAGCAACAAUAACAAAAUAGUUUCAUAAGGUAUUUGUUUUUGCAUACUCUGACCUUGUGAUUAUCUAAUAGCAGCCAAGUUUACUGACAUUUUUGAUUCUGUCAGAAAAAAAGAAAGUUCUCUACUCAGAAUGUUGACCAGAAACAGAAUCAGACAUUUAUUUUCUUGAAAUCAAAUAAAUAAAUGGAAAAUUGCUCUUAUCACCUCUUUGUUAAAACUGUACCAUAUCUAAUCAAUGCAUAAAAGUUCAGAUGUGUAGAAAACUAUAAUUUUUUCAGUCUCUAAAAAUAUUUUCCUCUCCAUAAAGUUUCUAUUUGCUAUUUUCUCAGAAUUUUAUAAUUAAAGGGAAAUAACAAACUAGGUGUUUUCUUUAAAACUCUUUGGAAAAAGUCCCAAACUACACACUCCUUGGACAAUAAGAUUUCGUUUUGUUUUUGAAGAAAUCCCACUUACUGGAAUUCUAUCUAAAUAUUUUGUUUUUUAAAGGGCAGGGGGAUUUAUUAAAUACCUCUAUGGAUGUGAAUGAUCAUUUAUAUUAAAAUAGCCAGUAGGAUUAUCCUUGAGCCACCAGAAUUACAUUUUCUACCUGUGUAUUUAACACCAUUAACUCUUUCUUGUAUAAAUUAUAAGAAAAUUUUCUACGGGGUCUGGUUUUACUUUUUGGAUAUGAAAUAAAGUUUUCUUUCCUACAUUUAAGGUCCUAUUCUGUAACUGUACUGUACCACCAAUGUCCAAAACACAUUCUGAGCAUCACUGUGGGUAACGACUUUUUAGUUUAUACCCUUCUGGUUCAUGGCCCGGCGCUGUAGUUAAUUAAGAGGAGGAACACGUAAGCUCACAACCGUUUCUUAUUUGGUUUUCACAUCCAUACUUAAAACCUUUGCCUUAAAAAGACUAUGAGAAAUUUAAAUAAGUUCCCCUCUGCUUUAUGAAGUAUUGGCAAGAAAUGCAUCCCCUUGUCAAAUCCCACUAUCAAAGCAUCGGAUACCAAAGUUGGCUGGUUGAAUUGCCAAAUAGAUUAGGCUUGUUAAUUAUUUUGAAAAUGGCUGCCGUUUCCAUGUAAAUGACAAGUUUCUUUUUCAUGGGCAAGGCUAUGGUACUUAUCGACUACAAGAAACAUGUAUAAACAUAGUCUUUAUCUUUAACUUCAGUAUGAAAAUAUGCAGAGUUUUUGUGAAGAGGAAAAACAUCUGGCUCAAUGACUCUGAACUCUGACUGCAUGUGGGCCAGUAAUAAUAAUAAUACGAAUUGGAUUUAAGAAUAAACCUUGUGUUUAAUCUUUUUGUUUUGUUUGUUUUGUUUUGUUUUUUCCUUGAAAUUUCAGUGUGAGUGUUCUGUUACGUCCAUUAUCCAUGUUAGCAUGUCUGGAACAAAUGUAAAAGUGUACUUUCUGAAUAAAGUCAAAAGUCUCACUUGUUUUAGUUCCAUAAUGUUUUAAUGUUUAAUUCUAUUGUGUGUUUUUCUCCCUUCCCCCGCCCACCCUCCAAAAUCACCAAAUCUGGAAAACAGACUGGUUGUGUCUGCCCAUGAGCAAAGGAGACCCGAAGGAACCAAGGGCCUGGCUGGACGGUGUUGUCACGUGACUGCCUGUCUACACUUGCUGUGCAGAACAUCCGCUCACCUGUACAGCAGGCACAGACAGGCAGUCACAUGACAACCCAGCCUGAGGGACAACCAGCCACUGAAAGAGAGCAGCCCUCACACCAUAGCAUCUACACCAAGAGCUACGACCAAAAUGAGGGGCGCGGGGGCCUGGGGGCCGCAUCUGUUGGUUUAAUACUUAAUUCGUAUGUAUGAUUUUAUUAUAUUAUAUUUUGAUUCGAAUACUGAAACCCACCGAAAAGUAAAGUGAGUGGUGCCGAUGAAAUACAAUAAAACCCAUUUCUGAAAAUGUU